UCGCAUAGUUGCCAGUUUCAGUCUCUGUUGUCGCGCGUACAUUCUCGGAUGUAUCUCGUCGUGAUAACGUUCAUAUGACUGCAUUCCAAAGUUCCUUGCAGUAAGUAUGCUCCUGGAUGCGGUAUCCCAUGGAUUACGUAUGGACCAUCGUAGACAAGUCUCCACUUAGCAUUCCUAUGCAUCAGAGCUGAGGAUUUGUGUUUCAGAAUCAAUCACUGGAAAAAAUCCAAAGCUAAAGAAAUGCACAAAUUAAGAGUGCAGAAGUUUUACCAUAUAGCUUGGAG